GACGUAGGGGGCCAGCGUUGUUCGGAAUUACUGGGUGUAAAGGGUUCGUAGGCGGUGUGGCAAGUCGGGAGUGAAAUCUCUGGGCUCAACCCAGAGUCUGCUUCCGAAACUGCUGUGCUUGAGUGUGGGAGAGGCGCGUGGAAUUCCUGGUGUAGCGGUGAAAUGCGCAGAUAUCAGGAAGAACACCCGUGGCUAAGGCGGCUCUCUAGUACGGUACUGACGCUGAGACGCGAAAGCGUGGGGAGCGAACAGG
rnacentral:rRNA from 1 species